rnacentral:lncRNA from 10 species
AGAGGGAAGAUCUAUGUCAUUUCCAGCCCUGGCUCUGUCUUCUCCACCCCUUCACACUCUGUCUUUCCACCACUCUUACAAGUGGCUGUGCAGCACUCCCAGGCCGCAUGGGAUGAGGGAAAAUGAUGGCAAAAGACUGGUCCUUAAGUCAUGGCACAGGAGUGACCCACAUAAGAGAACUCCUGGCCAGAGACAUCAACACGAGACAUCACAUGACUGAGAAAUAGUCUUUCAUCAUGUGAAGGCAUUGACUUUUGGAGUUAUUUGUUAUUGCAAUGAAUCUACUCUGACUCAUACAUAUUGCAAGUAUCUGUUGCCUCUUGGCGUGUGUAUGAGUUCGCCUACAUGGCAGAGUCAAUUCUGCUGUCUGUCCCACCAAGCUCACCAAAGCUAUUUGCAUGAAGGAUCCUUCAGUCACAAAACAGUGAGAAGGGCAUGUGAACAGCAUGCAAUCAAAGCAUGUUCUCAAUAUCAUGAGUGCACAGGAGUGGAAGUGUUCAGUUCAACUGUGACCACAGGGAUGAGAGGCCACAUGGCAUGAGGAGGGUAGUGACUCCAAUCAGAUGUGCAACCCAUAGAACCCCAGACUAACUUUUGGACUAUCUUUGCACUUAAGGAAGCAUCAGCCUGGCAUCCAUUAGCAACCCAGAAGCAGUUGGAAUCUGUAUUGCAGUCCCAUCAUAAUGCAAAGCAAAAUUUACAAUUCUUUUCCCCUUCUUCUGAGAUAUAGUGCACACCCUCGGCUGCUUCCCAAGCCUCUCUUCUCCUCUAUGCCAAACCCACCCCCUUAAACCUCUCCCUAAACCCAUUCCAAGCUGUUAUUCUAAACUUCUCCACCUCUUCCUGCCUUUUCCCGACUACUCUUUUGUCCCAGUAAAUAACUCUCCACCUUCUCCUCUGCAAAUCAAGCCGGACUUUCUGGCCUGCCUGGACUUAACAUUUCCUGUUACGACUCAUAGGCUCAAUUCGUGAGUCGAUCAUAGACCCAGAAAGGUCCAAAAAUGAAAACAGAUUCUUCUUAGGGGUGUGUUGAGGGAGUGGCUAUAAAUAUUUACACAUUAUUAUCAUUACUUUUUUUGGAUCACAGAUUGUCAACUCCACUGCUUGUGAGUUAGGCAAUCUUGGGUAAAUUCUUCACCAUCCCUUAGCCUCAAUCUCCUGCCUUGUAAAAUGGGGUUUAUUGACCUUCUCAGGAUUGUGGUGGGGAGUAAAUGAGAUGUGGUAUGUGAACGUAGUUUGCAUAUACCCAGCAGUAAGCAAUGUUUUUUCUGCCCUUUCUGAACUCGUGGCUCCUUUGCUUUAUGUGAGCAGAGUUGGAGGUGCAGGCCUAGCCCAACGACAUAAAGGAAGGUAAACUGAGAUGCCAGUCGUCAGCAGCACCCGGUUUUGAUACCAGCUCCUCUGGAUCUCACUCUUGAGUUCCCUGGUCAACUUUCAAGUGACCUUGAAGGGAGAACUGCAUUUCCCGUGCCUCCAGCAGAGUGUUUCCACCACAAGGGAAACAUGCCCACCCCUUGUCCCCCAGGGUGGGUUGCGAAGGUUAAUGAAUUGGUAUUUGUGAAGUGCUUUGAGAUCUGUGGAUGAAAGGCCCUAUGAAGUCAAAAGCGUUGGGAUGAUUAUUAAAUUGCCUUGCCUGAGGUCAGACAGCGCAGGACUAGGGGAGCUAGAAAGGGAAGACUCGUUUCCUUUCUUCCAUUCCCCUGCUGGAACAACUAAGACCGUAACCUGUUCUUGUUAAGAUGGGCUGUCCCUCUGUGGGUGGAUGUCCUCGGGCCUCACAUCCUGUCUCUUUUAUUCCCAGCACCCUGGUUAGGACCAGGCUCUGGCUCCUCACCAGCCUGCUCAUUGGAAUGCCAGACAGCUCCCUCGCUCUUGGGGAGAGCUCUGGUUUGCUGGGUUUUUAGAAGCUCAGGGAAACUGUCGUGUGAGAGACAGACAUUUUCACUUGACCGUGAGACCCUUCUUGAGAAAGAAGGGGCAGUUUCUCCUGUGCCAGCUGGACACCAAAACAAAGGAGGAGCUUUGCUGUGGCUGAAUUUGGGGGGUUGCAUUCUGCACCAACCAGCUCUUUUCUAAACCCCAUUUUCUUUUCUCUGUCUCUCUCUCUCUCUCUCUUUUGCUUUCUCCAUUCAACCAGCUUGGCAGUUGCAAUAUUUGUUUUCCAAACAUUUCCUCCAUACCUUUGUUUUUUCCUUCUCCCACAUUGGCUGUUGUAUAGACACCUCAUUGCUAUUCAGACACCUGUCACUUUCAGAUGUCAGUGUGGCUGUUGCCACACUGAUUAGUUAAGAUGAAGAAAAAAAUGCAGUGGCAUAUAAAUAAAAACUUAGAGACUGUCACAUUGUUUAAAAAGGGCCCACCUCCCAAUGCCAGAUCUCGGCAGAGCAGCGUCCUUCUCUUUCCUAGGUAACCCAGCUAAGGGGACCACUUAUAAUGUCUUGUUUUUAGUGAUUAAGUGGUUAAUGAUUUAAUGAACUAAAAAAAAAUCUCAUUUGUUGCUUCCCUUGGACUUGGAAAAAACCUCAAAGAGCUGAUUUUCUGUGUACCUCAGUCCAAUAUUGCUACCUGCUGGGAUACGAACACAGUCUCUAAAUAAAUUGCUAGUGGCCUUAGGCGGGUGGAAGAGUCUCCCUUUGAUCCUGCUCGAGCGGAUGAAGUCAAAUGUUCAAUCAAUCAAUCACGUUCAUAACUUGCAGCUACAAUCGAGCUGACAACAGCCUAUUAUUUAUUUUUAAAAUCAUAUAUUUCAUUAUUGCAAAACACACAGGCUCUCACGAGGGGGAAAAGACUAAAUUAUUGAUAAGCCAUAUAGAUGACGGAGUUUGUUGUUUCUGACACGCUUGUCACUAACUAUUGUCAGGAAGGAUUUACUAAGAUGUAGAGUCAGGAAAGUUGGCGAGGGAUGUACGUCGUGCCAAAGCAGAGAUGAGGAGAGGAAACUCUAAUGGCCUCUCUCUCUCUUAUUGAAUUCUUGUAGGUAAAAGGCAGCUGAAGGCAGAACAGGUUUCUAUUGCAAAGCAACACUUGAAAAGCCCCCAAUUUGAUUGCUACAGAGCAGGAGAUUUGGUUCUCAAAAUAGCCAUGCGUUUGGGAAAUGAAUUUUUGCUGGUGUCUGUGCAUUCCUGGAAAUAACAAUCGUAGCUCUCCAGCAUUCCCACAUGGGCCAGGGCCAGGCAUAUUUAUUCAAUAUUGUGUGUUGGGGCGGGGGCGGGGGAGGCGAUGUGCAAACGCAGCCUGAAGAAGCUGGCGUGGGGGAGGCCAGCUUUGGUUUCCUCUUGUUUUCGGAGGUGGGAGAAGAUGCUCUCCUGCCGUACCUCCGCCAGGCCCCUGAGCUGGCAGGGCGUCUGCAAUGGAGGUGUCUUCCCUACAGACCUGCGAUUGAACUUCUCUAAUGGGUUUAGGGGAAGGAAAAGCAGUCAGAAAACUGCUGACCACUCCUUUCCGUGUGCUUCUCUCUUUUCUGUUUUCUGGGUCACUAGCUGGGGAGGUCGUGGCAAGCUGAGAUCUUAAAGCUGCCAUUGACCCCCUUGUCUGAACAGUGAUGAGUUGGACUGAAAACUCUCCCAGACGCCGCAUUGUCACCUGGUUGUCACCUCCACCAUAAGAAGGGGGUUGCUCCUGGAUUUGCUGGAAGAAAAAGCCCCCUGGUCUAAAGGAACAGGAGAUGUUUUGUUAAGGGAACUUAAAUGUGCACACAGACAGAUCCAAUCCUAGAGAACAAGUACCAUUAAAAUGGAACAAAAACAGCCAUGGAACUAAAGAUUCCUAACUUCCCCUCCCUCCCCGCCCCCACUGGUACUUCCUGAACUCAAGUACAAUGUAAGUAAAAUCGAAGCUCCUUUGGAAGUUCAGUGAAAAUUUGACUUGCACUCCUAAAUUAUUCGCUAAUUACAAGAUGAUCUCCCAGUUGCUGGGGUGGGGAGAGACAGUGCUACGUGUAUACUCUAGAACUAAAGGUUUCUCAAGGCCAAAGGGCCCUUCAGAAUUAAUUUUUCCCCCCAUUUCAUAGAUGAGAAAACUAAAAGUCAGAGAAAUUGGAAUCAGACAUCCAGUUAGCAGCAGAUAGGGGACCAGACCCGGGGCCUCCAACCCCUUCCCUGAGGUGGAGUCGGACACCAUUAACAGAGCUUAGAUCAGAAAAGAGGCAAUUUGAUUCCUUAUAGAGUGCUCUGUCUCCCACGUUCUGCUGCCUGCUGGUGGAGUAUUCCAGCAUGCAUUCGUCUGGUUUUAACAUACUAACUUCAUUCAGAACCCAACCAGAACUCUCACUCAAUCACAUGUGCUUUCGCAAUGCUGACCCCCGACAAUGAGUAGGCAAGGGUAUUACAGGAUUAGGAUUUGGAAAUAACUUCUGAAUCCAUAAGAAGACAACUGAACCCCUCUUCUGGGAGUCGGGGGCCCUUGCUCCCAGCUCUGUACUACCACUUCUCUGGUGUGAUGGGCUUGGCGGAAGCUGCCCCUUCUGGGCUUCUGUCCAGGAGGUGAGGAGUGGUCGUGACAAAGUCCUUGACCACAUUUCAGCCAGGCUCCUCGCCCUCUGCUCAAAUAUGCAUCCACCUCAGCCCCAGUCCUUGCUGGGCCUGCACAUCCCAGUUUUAGAGAAAACCCUGCUGAGUUGGUUUAGAGAAAAUCUCCCACCCUUGAUAUCUGUUCAUCAUAGGCUGGCUUCAGCAAGAAUCCUCUUAGUCCAUUUAGCAAGAAUCUCUCCCAACAUUGGAU